GAUCUGUGCUCUGUCAAUGAUCCUGUAGAGGCACAGAAACACUAGGAUUUGUCCUCAAGCCAUUUACCCUGUGCAGAUACACUUCUAGGUUUGGACAGAAGCUUUGAUCUUCAUUGGGACCCUUGCUCUGUCGAACCAGCUUCUCUAGAAGUAGGACGUUCUCAUCUCUCUUGAGAGUCUCCAUCUCAAGAAUGUGCAACGCUUCUACAAAGAUCAUUGUACUUUCUGGAUUUUGAACAUGUAUUUGAAAGAUGCCUACCCAAACCUUGAAAAUAUGGAGAAAGGAAUUUAAAAAGCAACCAGAAAGUUGUGUUAAUGUUUCCAGUAUUUAAAUGCUAUUUAUGGUUUCCU